rnacentral:rRNA from 1 species
UACGAAGGGGGCCAGCGUUGCUCGGAAUCACUGGGCGUAAAGGGUGCGUAGGCGGGUCUUUAAGUCAGGGGGGAAAUCCUGGAGCUCAACUCCAGAACUGCCUUUGAUACUGAGGAUCUUGAGUUCGGGAGAGGUGAGUGGAACUGCGAGUGUAGAGGUGAAAUUCGUAGAUAUUCGCAAGAACACCAGUGGCGAAGGCGGCUCACUGGCCCGAUACUGACGCUGAGGCACGAAAGCGUGGGGAGCAAACAGG